AACUUUAAAGCAAUUUUUUUUGUGUCAAGUUUCGGCCUUGAAGAAGAGCACUACCUCUAAAGUUA
rnacentral:tRNA from 1 species